GACUCCUUGACUCAUAAAAUUGAUACUUUCUGUCGUCUGCAUCAGCUAGUUUGUAUUUUAUAGUAGGUAAAAUCGCUAGUAUUCUUUUCACAGGUUGGUCGCGCAACUAGAUGAUGCUUAUUGUAAAGCUACACCGGCACUUUUUCCGAUAGAGACGAGUCCGAGUGACACUUAUAGUCUAGCUGAGACUUACUAAUUAAGAGCCCAUCAUUAUUGUCUGUUUGUCUCGCAACAGCAUCAGACGAAAAUUACAAUAUUAUGAAAAAUGGAAUCGCUUUAUGAUGUCGACCCGUCUGAGGCACCAAAUAAUGCUAAAGAGAAAGGAAAAAAGAAUAAAAAAUUGGUUAAAAAAGGUUUUAUUAAUUAUAAAAUCAAGAAGUCUUAUUCAAAAGACAUUCACUCAAGCAGUAUUUCAACCAACAAAUCUAGAUGGGAGCGACUACUAUUUCUUGCAUAUCAACUAGCAAGGGAUGCAGGUGUCGAACUUCUCCUUUUUGGAUACUUCCCCAAUGACAUGGUAGGAAGUUGUGGCAGUUGGUCAUUUGGUAAGAUCACCAAAUUGUUGAAAAAGAAACCUGAUACCACAAAGUAUUACAAUUAUUGGGAAACAUUUUUUUCCCUGAUUGAAGCACAACGACAGAACAAAGAGACUUUUGAUGUUGAAAAAUGCCAUGAAGCAGCAACUUUCAAUUUUUUUGCCUCUGAAAAUAUGGAUUCUGAUGGUGCUUCAGAUGUGGAAAAUGAAUCUGAAGAUGCAGAUGUGGAAAAGGAAUCUGAAGAUGCAGAUGUGGAAAAGGAAUCUGAAGAUGCAGACGUGGAAAAGGAAUCUGAAGAUGCAGAUGUGAAAAAUGAAUCUGAAGAUGCAGACAUGAAAAAUGAAUCUGAAGUUGAGGCUCUUGAAGAAAUUGUUAUUCCUUCAGAUGAGAAAAAUUCAAUGGAAACAUUGGAAUCAGUGGAAUUUGAGUCAGUGGAUCAAUUACAAAGAUGGCUGAAUUCAGCUAAUGCAACAGAAUCAAGUGUAACAGAAACAGAAAUAAUUUUGACUAUAGAUCCGGAAACUUCGACAGUAUCUUUUCCAACAUCACUCCAAAAUGCAACUGUCACUGCAAAAACCCAACCGCCACCAGCCUUUAAGGUUCCUGACACACGUAUGUCAUCAGUUUCAGUCACAUUUGACGAUAAAGCUACAAGAACACUUACACCAACGCCACUAGCCACUAAAUAUCCGGCAACCACGCCGCUGCCUACAGAUUCGUCGUCUACGCCAUUCGUUUCAUUGGGCGCUAUCUGUGUCAAUUGUGCCGCCAAAGUUUCGGAAACAUUGCCAGCCACAAAAGAUCCGGCAUCAUCGCAACUGCCCAAAGUUUUUGGUCGUGCGCCGUCAGCCGCUAAAGCUGAGGGAACACCAACGCUGCCAGCCACAAAAGAUCCGGCAACAACAUCACCGCCUACGAAUUCGGAUCUGACGCCAUCAGUUCCAUUGGACGUUACAUUUAUCACAUCGGCCGUUAAAGCUUCGAAAACGCAGCAAGCCACAAAAGAUCCUCCAAAAACAUCGCUAACUACGUAUUCGGAUCCGGUGCCAUCAGUUCCAUUGGACAUUACAUUUAUCACAUCGGCCGUUAAAGCUUCGAAAACGCAGCAAGCCACAAAAGAUCCUCCAAAAACAUCGCUAACUACGUAUUCGGAUCCGGUGCCAUCAGUUCCAUUGGACAUUACAUGUGGCGCAUUGGCUGCUAAAGCUUCGAAAACGCCGCAAACCACAAAAGAUCCGGCAUCACCUUCGCUAACUACGGAUUCGAAUCCGGCGCCGUCUGAUCCAUUGGGCAUUACAUGUGUCGCAUUGGCCGUUAAAGCUUCGAAAACGCAGCAAGCCACAAAAGACCAGGCAACAACAUCGCUGCCUACAGAUUCGAAUCCGGCGCCAGCAGUUUCGGCCGCGUCGGCCAUUAUCAGGAAUCAGCCGCCGCGGAGUCAUGCUAAAAAACGAACAAUCACUAAAGUUCUAGCAUCAACACCACUGCCUGCUGAAUCGUCUCCUACACCAUCAGUUUCGGCCACACUGAUCGCUAAACGGAAACAGCCACCGCUAAAAAAAGCUAAAAAAGCGGAAGUAGAGGCUAAAUAGACAAGCUGUAAUGCGGAUGUUUGUUAAGAGUGCGUUCUCAAUGCGCUACGUGUCUCUCUCAGGAAAACUUUUGUACAAUUUUUAUGGUUGGAGCAAGAUUUUUUUCCCCCCUUCAUCAGGCAUUGUUGUCUUUUGCCAAGAUUGAUGUAGUAUGCUAUAGACAAAAAGAAAUGUUUUUUGAGGACUAUGCAACAAUAUCUAAAUGAUGUCCAGUCCAGUGUAUCACAGUUUUCAAGAUCUAAAAAUACGCAGAAGAUAACUCUUUCUACCGAUGAUACUUCACAUUCAAGGAACUUUCGCACUGCUGAAAGUGCUACUUCAGCUGCAUCUCUGUUUGGAAAACCAUAGACCCCAGUUGAAAUGCAUGGAAAUGCCUGUUGAAAAUUUGCUGAUAAGAUAAUGGAAGUAAACAAAAUUACAAAGUGUAAAAACUCAA
rnacentral:misc_RNA from 1 species